CGAUGGUGUUUAACCUUAGCAAAACAAAUAUUUAAAUCGAUUAAGACCUGUAUCAGAUACUUCCUGGUUUGCAAAAGUAUACUAUCAAAUAAUAAAUUCAAAAGAAAGACAGCUAUGGUUUUGGGCAAAUAGGAAAGCUGCAACAAAAAAAUAUUAAAGAAGCAAGACAGUGGUUUUCAUUCGUGUCCGUGUGAAGACACCACCAAACAGGCUUUGUGUGAGCAAUAAAGUUUUAAUCACCUGAGUGCAGGAGGGCUGAGUCCGAAAAGAGAGAUGAAAUUUGGGCUUGACUGAAGUAAUGGGGGCUAUCUGCGAAGAUUUGUGGCAGUACAGCCCAGGUAACUUGC
rnacentral:lncRNA from 1 species